UGAGAUCCAUUGGUACCUGCUGUCUGUUCUUUUGCUACUGGUGAUACUGGUCAUCAUCAUAAUCAUCAUCAUCAUCAGCAUACGAAGAAAGAAAUGCAAAGCAAAGAAUCAAACCCGGAGCAGUGAGAGGAGCACUGACCCCACUGUUCACACUGCUGAGAGUGAGUACAGCACAAUUGUUUUCAAGUCAAGAAAGAAGAAAUCAAAACAAAGGAACCUGGAGCAGUCUUCAGUAUCAAAACGUAAUGAGCAGGACACGACCUACAGCUUUAUAAAUAUUACUCCCAAGAAGAAAACUGUGUCUCCAAAUGAUGAUGAUAAUCAGACCAUCUA